rfam:Schistosoma margrebowiei strain Zambia genome assembly, scaffold: SMRZ_contig0002205
AACCUUCUGAAUCCACGCCGAGAUUUCGUCAGACACCGAUCCAUUAGAACUGAUCAAACUUCCAAGAUGAGUGAAGUU